CAAUAGCGUAUAUUAAAGUUGUUGCAGUUAGAAAGCUCGUAGUUGGAUUUCUGGUUGAAGCGACCGGUCGGGCGUUGAUUCGUCUGCACUGGAGUCGGUUUUGGCCAUCCUCUAGGAAAGUGCGUCUGGUAUUAAGUUAUCGGGCGUAUGAUCCUGGUCUUUUACUGUGAAAAAAUUAGAGUGUUUAAAGCAGGCCUUCGCCUUGAAUACAUUAGCAUGGAAUAAUAAGAUAGGACUUUGGUCUAUUUUGUUGGUUUGCAGACCGAAGUAAUGAUUAAUAGGGAUAGUUGGGGGUAUUUAUAUUCCGAUGUCAGAGGUGAAAUUCUUAGAUUUUCGGAAGAUAAACUUAUGCGAAAGCAUUUACCAAGGAUGUUUUCAUUAA
rnacentral:rRNA from 1 species